rnacentral:misc_RNA from 1 species
CCAAAUAUCAGUGCUAACACCGGUGCCAGUUAAGCUGAAUCCCUUUGUGUUCUGUCCAUUUAUCGCAACAGAAUCUGUCUCCCCAAGGUCACAUUUGCCAACAACAAUGCAGGAUCCCCAAAUUACGGUAACCAGCAUGACAGUUGACCCAGCCAGCAAGCCCAUUCCAACAGAGACCUGGCUCUGAGCUGUUGCUGUACUCCCAGAAAGUCCAGAUACAAGGAUGAGCAUAGCAUCAGGAAGGGCGCCAAGCAUGGGAAGAAACAAUCCACCAACGAUUCCAGGGCCCAACAUCUGAAGCAAAAGCUCGCUACCAGUGGACAAGUAGGUAGCAGCUACGAACAUUAGGUAGCCGUACACAAUGAUCAAAAACAAGUUACCAAGCACAGUGGAGGUACAGGGCAUGAAGCCAUAGGUUUGCUCACAGGAUUCCUCAGCAGAGAAGGGAUUGAGAAGGAUGUAAGGCGGGGUCCGGAGGGAGUGGAACCCAUCAGAAAUCAGAUCGGAGGACUGAGAAGAAGAGAGGGGCCGGGAAUGAACGGCGGAGGGAAGGAGGAGGAGGAGGAUCGGA